rnacentral:rRNA from 1 species
AUUGAACGCUGGCGGCAGGCCUAACACAUGCAAGUCGAACGAGUGGCGGACGGGUGAGUAAUGUCUGGGAAACUGCCUGAUGGAGGGGGAUAACUACUGGAAACGGUAGCUAAUACCGCAUACCAUCAGAUGUGCCCAGAUGGGAUUAGCUAGUAGGUGGGGUAAUGGCUCACCUAGGCGACGAUCCCUAGCUGGUCGGAGAGGAUGACCUGCCACACUGGAACUGAGACACGGUCCAGACUCCUACGGGAGGCAGCAGUGGGGAAUAUUGCACAAUGGGCGCAAGCCUGAGGCAGCCAUGCCGCUUGUAUGAAGAGGGCCUUCGGUUUGUAAAGUACUUUCAGCGGGGAGACGUUACCCGCAGAAGAAGCACCGGCUAACUCCGUGCCAGCAGCCGCGGUAAUC